rnacentral:rRNA from 1 species
UACGUAGGGUGCAAGCGUUAAUCGGAAUUACUGGGCGUAAAGCGUGCGCAGGCGGUGAUGUAAGACAGGUGUGAAAUCCCCGGGCUUAACCUGGGAACUGCAUUUGUGACUGCAUCGCUGGAGUGCGGCAGAGGGGGAUGGAAUUCCGCGUGUAGCAGUGAAAUGCGUAGAUAUGCGGAGGAACACCGAUGGCGAAGGCAGGUCUCUGGGUCGAUACUGACGCUCAUGCACGAAAGCGUGGGGAGCAAACAGG